UACGGGGGGAGCAAGCGUUGUUCGGAUUUACUGGGCGUAAAGGGCGCGUAGGCGGCCACCGCAAGUCGACUGUGAAAUCUCCGGGCUUAACCCGGAAAGGUCAGCCGAUACUGCGGGGCUAGAGUGCAGAAGGGGCAACUGGAAUUCUCGGUGUAGCGGUGAAAUGUGUAGAUAUCGAGAGGAACACCUGCGGCGAAGGCGGGUUGCUGGGCUGACACUGACGCUGAGGCGCGAAAGCUAGGGGAGCGAACGGG
rnacentral:rRNA from 1 species